CUAAAGACUCGUGAAGCUGACCGGUACUAAUAAGCCGAUAACUUACACUACA
rnacentral:rRNA from 1 species